rnacentral:rRNA from 1 species
UACGUAGGGUCCAAGCGUUAUUCGGAAUUACUGGGCGUAAAGCGUACGUAGGCGGUUUGGUAAGUUGGAUGUGAAAUCCUGUGGCUCAACCACAUGGACUGUGUCCAAAACUACCAAACUUGAGCAUAGUAGAGGCAAGUGGAAUUUGCGGUGUAGGAGUGACAUCCGUAGAUAUCGCAAGGAACACCAAUGGCGAAGGCAGCUUGCUGGGCUAUUGCUGACGCUCAGGUACGAAAGCGUGGGGAGCGAACGGG